rnacentral:rRNA from 1 species
UACGUAGGUGACAAGCGUUAUCCGGAAUUACUGGGCGUAAAGCGCACGCAGGCGGCGCACUAAGUCUGACGUGAAAUCUCUCGGCUUAACCGGGAGGGGUCGCUGGAGACUGGUGGGCUUGAGGCGAUGAGAGGGGUGUAGAAUUCCCGGUGUAGUGGUGGAAUGCGUAGAUAUCGGGAGGAAUACCAGUGGCGAAAGCGGCAUCCUGGCAUUAGCCUGACGCUCAUGUGCGAAAGCGUGGGGAGCGAACGGG